AACUAAUUCCUAAAAGUCAUUCCUAUGUAAAGCAAAUUUGUAAAACAGAUCAGGCUAGUGUUGCACUUCUGCAUGUGGAGAGCACAUUGAGAAUGGGUCAAGUGCCAAAUCGUCACCUUUGCCUUCUUUCUAUUCUCAUCACAGAGCUCCCAUGAAGGAAACUCUCCUGGAAUCCUCAUGGGAAACUAACUUUGCCUUUGUAUGCUAUUCAUGCUUUUCUCCUGAGCAAGAGCAUGGUGAUAACUUCUGCUGGCCAAUGGAGGCAUUUUGCUUCUGUGGAACGGUACAUACAUGGACUGCAAUCCAUAUCACCAAGUCAUCUGCAUGGAGCAAUAUGAAGCAGAACAAUGGCAACAUGCAGCUUGUAGAGUAUCAAGCGGAAUAUAUUGAGAGUCUAGCAUGUUUUUCUCCUUCUGAUUUUUGGGACACUGGAAUUAAAAAAUUACUGAGAAGCUCAAAAUGAACUGGCAACAUAUAAAGAAAAUGCAGUGGCUAUUUUUGCAAUAAGCUGUCACAAUCUAUAAUUUCAUUUGGUGAUCUGUCUUGAGUGAAUUGUUCAAGACCAUAUUUUAUCUGCCUGGAGUUACCAUACAACAGUGUACCGAUAGCCACCAUGUUCAGUUAGUGGGGAGCUUUCUCAUCACAUCAAGGGCAGCAUCAAAACUCAUACUGGUCAUCUGGGACUUGCUUCUUGAUCAGAGUAAAAACUUUUUGUGGAAGAUUGUUAAAUUUAUGCCUUACUAUUUUGGAGCAGAGUGGAAUAGAUCGUAUGUUUCAUAAUCUUUUUUUCUGGAUCCCCACUUGCAGCAUUGAGGAUUUGAGGACUGCAUUAUACACCACCAUCUGUCAGACAUUUCGGUCCAGUAAUGUUUGAAUGUUUCAGCCAAUUUCAAACAAGCUCAGCAGAUCCAUAAAUGGAUUUUCUAUAAAGAGAUAUGAUGCAGGUGAAAUAGAUACGACGACUGAUCUUUGUAUUCUUGUUGUGGGGAGGCUGUGGUGAGGUAAACACCAUGUAGUGCAACCAGAAGGGAGAUCUGAUGAAAGACAUGGUUUUGUCAGAAGUGUCAGUAAGAUUUCUACAUCAUUUUGUAUCAGAAGCUUCAUAUCUCAGUCACAGUUUCUUUUGCGUGUGACUGGGAUUGCAGAAGAGUGGAUGCUGAAGCUUUAAUAAUAGUCAGUACAUACGUUCAGUCAGAGAAGCUGCAAUAUCCUAUUGAUUGCUUUCAUAUCCUCAGAUAGAAAAGGUAAACCUGAAAAGUAUUGUGAAACUUACCUUGCAUGUAGUUUCAAUAAGAGUUAGGUCCAAAUUGAGCUUUUUUUUUUUUUUUUUUUUUUUUUUUUUUUUUUUUCUCUCAGGAAGUGGGAAUUUAGAAGAAUUUAUGACAGUAAAUUAUUGCAAAUAAAAGUGCAGUGAGUUAGCAUCCACUCCCUGACACCCCUUGUUGUUACUCGUGCCAGCAAGAACAGUUUUGAUCACGCAACACUUUCUCAGCUGAGCAGCCCAGGGGAAUGGUGCAGGCAGACAGCCUAGAGCAAAGUCUAUCAAUCAGAGCCUGAAACUGUUGCAGUUUCACCUUUUGACCUGCUCAAUACAACAUUAAAAUCGCUAUUUCUUUC
ensembl:lncRNA